GGAGAGUGAGGGGUAGUUCGGGAGGAGUGAUUAGGUGUCGGUACUCUCCUCUCAACUUGUACCUCUACGGAUGUUGGCUUCCUUUGAGUAAAGUAAGUUCGAAUUCAUGAUUCCUUCUUAUAGUGUUAUACUUGGUUCUUUGAUGCAUGAGUAGUCUUAUAUCCUUGCUAUGUUUAUAUGCUUGACUUAUAUGCUUGUAUGCUAGUCAUAUACCCUUGCUAUCAUAAUAUAGGCUUGUAUGCUCUCAUGUGUGUCUUUAGACCUUGAUAUAGUAUACACUAGUAGUGCUUAUAUUUGAGUGAGAUCAAUUCUAUUACUUGUGGGUUCGUCACUCUAUAUUUAUACAGAGUGCCAUAGUUUGCUACGGGAUAUUAGACAUAGUUAGACUAUGGUAGUAAUCAAUAGUGUAGACGUGGUGUCUAGGCUAAGGGUUAUCAUUCGUUUGCCUUAUAUCCCACGGGCUACUAGAGGUAGGUCAUAGGUGGUGACAGCCCUAUUGGUCCUUUGUAAUCCUCCACGUUCGGAUAUAGAGUAGAGCUAUAGGCCGGAGGCGCCUGACUAAAUCAGGGGUAAGCUGGUGCCCAAAGCGAGUAUUUGACCCGAUAGAUCGACCUUUAACUCACCUAUAGUUCUACCUUAGGAAUCCUCUCUACCCUCGCCACCUAUCUUGGUGUAUCCUUGGACUGACUAGACUAGGAGUUAAUUUGCACACGGUCCCUUGAAUUCCAUACCCUUAGAAUACUCUGAGGUGAAAGCUACAACAGUAUCCGUGCACUUGCGGAUUUAUUCGCAUU
rnacentral:lncRNA from 1 species